AUCUUUUUGUAGUUCAUAAGCAUGAUGAUUAUGUUUUUACAUUCACGUGUAAGAUGUGCCUCCCUCAAACCUUUGUUAUGAUGUCAGCAUAUUACCUGUCUGAUG
rnacentral:snoRNA from 1 species